UCUGUUUUGCCAGCUGCAGCAUCCAGUGAUGGGCGAAGGACCACAGCCAUUUCAGGUUAUAUAAACCUCCCCUACACGUACUCCACAGUGCACACCCCUAUCAGCAAGCAUAUGUUUUCUCAUAGACAAACAGACUAUAGCAUUUCAAAUGUAUUUUUGUACUGACAGAAUUACAUUAUUACAACUUUAAAUUUGUCUUUUCCAGAUGUGAGAGAUGCAUGGGGGGGGAAAAAAACCAUACGUCCUGCUCUCCAAAGUGGGUCCCUAUAAGAUAUUUUACCAUGAUAUCUUUAACACGGGUCCUCAAAUGGAGUUUGAGAGUGAGGUUAUAAAUGCAUAUCUCACAAAACUUGUGGAGAGGUAUAACCAAAACAACACCACAAGGGCAUUUGCCAUUGACACAUUUGAAAUGACACGGAUUUGGGAGGGGAAGAAACCUAAAAUUAAGAUCAUCCCACAGCAUUACGAAUUCAUUUUGGGCGUGGUUAAUCAGGCACAUCACUGGAUGCUGGUGGUAAUCUUACCAGCCAAAAAGAUGAGCCUGUUUCUGGACCCACUUGGGGAAAAAAAAAUGCGGCCAAUCAGUGCAAGGAUGUCACAAGGUAAU